CCAAUACUUCAGCGAGUAUUUGGGGACGGCGGCCUAUUCACCCCUCAAGAACCAGUACAUCCUCUCUAUAGGUUUGGCGCUCAGAGUUUGUAUUCAUCUGGUAUUUGGUACUGGAGUCAAAGGUGGGGUAGCAUACACUCUAAUACGGAGGAUCUGGUAUUGAUGUGGGAAUAGGCUUUUUAUGAUUGGUACUAUUCACGAAUCCUCAUCUCCCUAAUUUCAGCCUCGCUAAUCACGAGAGAUGGGGUGCCCUCGGUUGUAGCAGAAGGGGUGGUUGGAAGGGAGGAGUCGAUGGUGAUGACAGUGGUUCUUUUAGUGGGUUGAUUAUGUUAUUCUUCUAGGAUGGUGUUAGUGGCCAGUAUCGCUGUUGUGGGUUGGACGAUAGAGGUGGUGCAGUGAGGGUUUGGUUAAAGGAGGGAACGGGUUGGACAGAGUGGUCAGCAGACAUGGUUGGUUGAUAGGCAUUGCGAUUUGGUGAAGGAAAUGUGGCUAGAGAGGGUUGUCAUUAUGUGGGAAUGAGGCAAUAUACGCUUGAGCUUUUUGGGAAAGUUUAAAUGAGUGGGUGAGAAGUGACGGUUCGGAUGUGUGGAGGAGACGCUUAAGAGAUAGCAGGCCAUACGAGCACAUUUCCCUAUUUACGGAGCGAGAUGAAAGUGGUGGGUCCCGAUCAAGCAUGUGGCAAACGGUGGCGAUGGUUUGGUUUCUAUAGCUGCAUUAUGUUAUUUGUUGACUAAUUUUUGUAUUAUCUUAUUUUAAGUUUCUUAUAAUAAGAGAGUGGGGGAUAAUGUUAGAGUGUAGUUUGAUGGGUCCGAAAAAUUCAGUGGAACCCUUUUUACGUGGCAUAAUAGUAGGAGAUUUGAAAUUUUAAAAGGUCUACAUUCUAAGUUGACUUAUGACUUCCUUAUUCUAUUUGACUCCCAUUUUUUGAGGAAGUUGAAUUCUAUUCAGUCAUGGGAUUUACGGUUAUCUUUACACAGAAUUCUUAGUCCAAUUGGGGGAAUUGUGGUCAAGGUAUAAAUACA
rnacentral:lncRNA from 1 species